UCAGAUGGUUUCUAGAGUUAGUUCCUUACAAGCAUUCCCUCUUGAAACAUAGGGAAUCUAAAUAAAGGCACUCCUUGAUGAAAUAAGUAAGAAAGCUUGUCAAGAGCCAUCACUCUUGCUCAUGGGACAAGAGAAGGCACUGACCUGUGCCCACCAGCACCCCAUCACUGAGCCAACACCACCUUCAGCAAGACAGUCUCCAGCAGGGCUUCCCCCAGUUCCCCUAGCUGCUUUGCCUCUGCUACUCUGGUAAGCACCUGCAGGGAGGCAGGCACCCCAGCACCCACUAGCAUUCUGCAACAGCUGUUGCACCUUGGCUCCCCCAGUACAGUGGAUUACAAACCUUAAGGAGUCAGAGAACAGAUGGGGCCCAAUACAAGUUCCCCAGAAUUACAACAUGCCGUCCAGGAGUUGAGAGCUGAGUGCUGACCUUCUAAAAUUUCCCAGAAACAAAGCCAGGUGGCUGAAUCCACCUUAUAUUAUAGUCAAACCCUCAAGGUCAUCAAAUCAUCAAAUAGGAUAAAAGAAAAAAAAAUCCAAAGGUCAGCAACGUCCAAG
rnacentral:antisense_RNA from 1 species